rnacentral:rRNA from 1 species
GACGAACGCUGGCGGCGUGCUUAACACAUGCAAGUCGAACGGAAAGACCCUGCUUUUGUGGGGUGCUCGAGUGGCGAACGGGUGAGUAACACGUGAGUAACCUGCCCUUGACUUUGGGAUAACUUCAGGAAACUGGGGCUAAUACCGGAUAGGAGCUCCUGCUGCAUGGUGGGGGUUGGAAAGUUUCGGCGGUUGUGGAUGGACUCGCGGCUUAUCAGCUUGUUGGUGGGGUAGUGGCUUACCAAGGCUUUGACGGGUAGCCGGCCUGAGAGGGUGACCGGGCACAUUGGGACUGAGAUACGGCCCAGACGCGAACGGGAGGCAGCAGUGGGGAAUAUGGCAGAAUGGGCGGAAGUGUGAGGCAGCAACGCCGCGUGCGGGAUGACGGCCUUCGGGGUGUAAACCGCUGUCGCAUGUGACGAAGCGUGAGUGACGGUAAUGGGUAAAGAAGCACCGGCUAACUACGUG